rnacentral:rRNA from 1 species
CUUUACUGUAACCUGGAAUUGGCUUCGGGCUUCGCUUGCGCAGGAUAGGUGGGAGGCAUUGAAGUACCCCUUGUGGGGGGUAUCGAGCCACCCUUGAGAUACCACUCUGGCGAAGCUAGAAUUCUAACUCACUCCCGUCAUCCGGGAUGGGGACCUUUUCAGGCGGGCAGUUUGACUGGGGCGGUCGCCUCCUAAAAGGUAACGGAGGCGCGCAAUGGUUCCCUCCGGCUGGUUGGAAAUCAGCCUUCGAGUGCAAAGGCAUAAGGGAGCUUGACUGUAAGAGCUACAACUCAAGCAGGGUGGAAACACGGCCUUAGUGAUCCGGCGGUUCCGAGUGGAAGGGCCGUCGCUCAACGGAUAAAAGUUA